rnacentral:rRNA from 1 species
UACGUAGGGGGCAAGCGUUGUCCGGAUUUAUUGGGCGUAAAGAGCGUGUAGGCGGCCAGGCAGGUCCGUUGUGAAAACUCGAGGCUUAACCUCGAGAUGUCAUCGGAAACCAUCUGGCUAGAGUCCGGAAGAGGAGAGUGGAAUUCCUGGUGUAGCGGUGAAAUGCGCAGAUAUCAGGAAGAACACCAAUGGCGAAAGCAGCUCUCUGGGACGGUACUGACGCUGAGACGCGAAAGCGUGGGGAGCGAACAGG